AAUGAGGCAGACAAAGUCUUGUGUCAUUGCUGCUUAGUAAGCAGCAUCACUGAGUCUCAUUCACUUGAUAAUUGCUGUUCUCCGGAAGAUCACAGCUGUCGGCGGGGGCUGUAGGAUCCUUGGUUUCUUUGAAGUCGUUAGCAGUCAGCUAUAGGACUGCUCCUGGAAUGCCCUGCUGGUCAUCACAGGACCUAAAAGUAAAUGGUCUCAAUAUCCCAUUGUGUGGAUAAGAAAUUUGAGGCAGAGAGAGAGAAGUAGAGUGUGACUCCGUGCCCCAUAGCGUGAGAUGUGCUUUGUAUUGUGCCGUGAUGCCGUUAGGAUGUCCGAACGUUGCAGUGCUCCUC
rnacentral:lncRNA from 1 species